GAUGAACGCUAGCUACAGGCUUAACACAUGCAAGUCGAGGGGAAACGAUAGGGAAAGCUUGCUUUUUCUAGGCGUCGACCGGCGCACGGGUGAGUAACGCGUAUCCAACCUGCCCAUCACUUGGGGAUAACCUUUCGAAAGUAAGACUAAUACCCAAUGACGUCUCUAGAAGACAUCUGAAGGAGAUUAAAGAUUUAUCGGUGCUGAAUGGGGAUGCGUCUGAUUAGCUUGUUGGCGGGGUAACGGCCCACCAAGGCGACGAUCAGUAGGGGUUCUGGGAGGAAUGUCCCCCCAACUGGAACUGAGACACGGUCCAAACUCCUACUGGAGGCAGCAGUGAGGAAUAUUGGUCAAUGGACGAGAGACUGAACCAGCCAAGUAGCGUGCGGGAAGACGGCCCUAUGGGUUGUAAACUGCUUUUAUAAGGGAAUAAGGUGGGAGUCGUGACUCCUUUUGCAUGUACCUUAUGAAUAAGGACCGGCUAAUUCCGUGCCAGCCGCCGCAGUAA
rnacentral:rRNA from 1 species